GAGACUCGUUUGUUGCCUCUCACCUGCAGAGGCAAACACAGGUCAAGGUGUCAAGCUGCUAACUGCCAAGUCAAGUUGCAUAAAUGGGUAUGCUAGUAGUACCAGAUUAUGCAUUAGCAGACAUGCUAGUAAUGCCAGAUUAUGCAUGGUUAUUUCUAUUUCACCUGGCAUCUGACACCUUCAGAUAAAUUGUUCGCAACUAGUGACAUUAAUUGCAAGUGGUAAUCACAGCAACAAAAAGUUCUAUUUAAACUAAAAAUGAGUAAAAUAGAAAACUCAUUAUUCUAUCAUUUGCUACUUAGCAAAGAGGUCCCUGCAAGUGUGUGCACAUUAAGGCAAAGGAAAUAAUUCUGCAGCUACAAUAAAAGGAAACCAGUCACUCUGAUACAAUAUAAAAUAAUUAAAUUAAAAAAUAUACUUCUAUUCAAAGAAUUAUCUCCCUCAAGGUCCUCACUGGGUACAUCCCCAGUGGAAUCUCUGACUCAUUUAUCCUUUGUUUUAUAGGCCUCACCAAGCUGAGACAAAAAUAGGACCCCUGUGUUUCAGGCUUCAUCAUCUACCUUUCAAUUCAUAGAGCUUCAUUGUAUAUUUGAAAUUCAUGAAACUUAUUAAAAUACAGGUCAACAUCAAUUUCAAUAGUUCUAAACACAGACCAAAAAGUCAUCAAAGUCAGAAUUAAAACCAAUACCAUAUAGGGAUGAUGACAGCCU
rnacentral:misc_RNA from 1 species